rnacentral:rRNA from 1 species
GUGAGGAAUUUUGCGCAAUGGCCGCAAGGCUGACGCAGCAACGCCGCGUGGGUGAAGAAGGCCUUCGGGUCGUAAAGCCCUGUCAGGUGGGAAGAAAGGUCUUGAGAAGAAACGCUUGGGAUUUGACGGUACCACCAGAGGAAGCACCGGCUAACUCCGUGCCAGCAGCCGCGGUAAUACGGAGGGUGCGAGCGUUAUUCGGAAUUAUUGGGCGUAAAGCGCGUGUAGGCGGGGGAGCAAGUCUGAUGUGAAAGCCCCGGGCUUAACCUGGGAAGUGCAUUGGAAACUGUUUUUCUUGAGUACUGGAGAGGAAGGGGGAAUUCCCGGUGUAGAGGUGAAAUUCGUAGAGAUCGGGAGGAAUACCAGUGGCGUAGGCGCCUUUCUGGACGGUUACUGACGCUGAGACGCGAAAGCGUGGGGAGCAAACAGGAUUAGAUACCCGAGUAGUCC